rnacentral:lncRNA from 1 species
UGGCAGGAUUCACUCUGAAAUGCAAGAAAGCAAAGGAGUGGUUUAAUAAUUAUGUGGACCCUAGGAUGGAUAACAUGUCUUGGGAGGAGUUUGCUAAUGAAUUUGCUGGGUGGGCUUUUCCAGAUAGCUCCAGAGAAUUGAAGAUGAUAGAGUUUGAGCAGCUGAGGCAGUCUGAGGACAUGAGUGUCGAUGAGUACACUGA